AGCUUGAUGAUGACAGUCUCCUAUGAUUGCUUUUGAAAAAGCAGGAUGAGUAAAUCAUUUCACCGGCACUGAAAGCA
rnacentral:snoRNA from 1 species